rnacentral:lncRNA from 1 species
AACUGGAUGAAGUUAGUGGGUUAUAAUUAGGUUUAGGUUCUAUAUAGAAUCAUUUACAUUCAAAUAAGAGUUAAGUCGCGUUUAUUAGACAUUCAGUUGAAUAAUAAUUGAGCAUUUAUAAUGGACAUCUAUAUAUAACAGUGCGUAUGAAUAGCUGCACUAUUACUAGUUUUGUUGAUUUUAAAUGAAAGUGUGAAAAUAUUAGAAAGUAGAUUAUUAAACAGAAUUUAAGAAUGGAAAUUUAGCAGUCUCCACCUCAUCACACAAACAUGUAUAAUACAUUUCUCUUCUCACUGCGAACAGCGAGCGUGCAUUCACCAUCAUACCCCACUCUUUAUCCCAGGGGUGCACAAUUCAUUUUUCCAAGGGGCCACAUGAGAAAUUGAAACGAUUUUAGAGGGCCAGCCUAAUAUAUUUAUCUCAGUUCAGCCCAAUACAUAUAUACUGUAGGCAUAUACAGUAUUUAUAAUAACCCUUUUUCUAUAUAAAAACAGUAAAUGAAACAUUACAAUAAUACAAUAAAAUGUGGUGGAUUAUAAAAUUAAUAAACGUGAUGGUUCACGGCAUUGUUCUGACAUUAGCAUCCCAACCUGACAUAAAAUAGCAAGUUUUUCAAAGACCAGCAUCGUUUUAACUUAAUAAAGAAAACUAGCAGCACUAUGAGCUACACAGCUUUACACAAAAACAAUCAGGGGUUUCAAUAAAAACAGCAUCAACUUAACUUUAUACAAAAAAUAUAUAUAAAUGCAUUUGUUUGUUUGUUCUGCCUCAGUUCUUUUUUGUGUGUUUAGUGAGAGAAAUCCUGCUGCCAUUGGUUGGUCUGUGUGUUUAUAUCAAAGGUCGGUGAUGCAGACCUGCAGAUCUGCUCUGUUAAUCCUGAUUUUACUGAUCAUCACUACACUCAUGACUGGUAUGUGUUCAGUAUGGCUGAUUUAGAUGUUUAUUGGGAGGGUAAUAAUAAUACUCCUAAAUCUCAGUCAGAUAUGACUAUGUAUCACCUAAAUGAUAUCACCUAAAUGUAUUAAAAAUGAUUAAAACUGAAUAUGAAAUAUGAGCAUAUUAAGAAAUCCCUAAAUGCAACUGGGCCUAAUAUAGAGCCUGGUAGAAUCCCCCAGUUAAUAGAGUCUAGGUCAGGGGUCGUCACUUAAGAUUAUAUUCCAGAGGUUUUACAGAGGUUUUCAAUUUGGUAAAAUCAAAGAAACUCAUAAUUUUUAAGUGAACUCUUAUUUUUUUUCAGAGCUGUAAAUAAAACACUCCCACUAUAGUAUAUUUUAUAUAAA